UAGGGAAUCUUCGGCAAUGGACGAAAGUCUGACCGAGCAACGCCGCGUGAGUGAAGAAGGUUUUCGGAUCGUAAAGCUCUGUUGUAAGAGAAGAACGGGUGUGAGAGUGGAAAGUUCACACUGUGACGGUAUCUUACCAGAAAGGGACGGCUAACUACGUGCCAGCAGCCGCGGUAAUACGUAGGUCCCGAGCGUUGUCCGGAUUUAUUGGGCGUAAAGCGAGCGCAGGCGGUUAGAUAAGUCUGAAGUUAAAGGCUGUGGCUUAACCAUAGUACGCUUUGGAAACUGUUUAACUUGAGUGCAGAAGGGGAGAGUGGAAUUCCAUGUGUAGCGGUGAAAUGCGUAGAUAUAUGGAGGAACACCGGUAGCGAAAGCGGCUCUCUGGUCUGUAACUGACGCUGAGGCUCGAAAGCGUGGGGAGCGAACAGGAUUAGAUACCCUGGUAGUCCACGCCGUAACGAUGAGUGCUAGGUGUUAGGCCCUUUCCGGGGCUUAGUGCCGCAGCUAACGCAUUAAGCACUCCGCCUGGGGAGUACGACCGCAAGGUU
rnacentral:rRNA from 1 species